rnacentral:rRNA from 1 species
CCUACGGGGGGCUGCAGUGAGGAAUAUUGGUCAAUGGGCGAGAGCCUGAACCAGCCAAGUAGCGUGCAGGAAGACGGCCCUAUGGGUUGUAAACUGCUUUUGUAUGGGGAUAAAGUCAAUCACGUGUGAUUGUUUGCAGGUACCAUACGAAUAAGGACCGGCUAAUUCCGUGCCAGCAGCCGCGGUAAUACGGAAGGUCCGGGCGUUAUCCGGAUUUAUUGGGUUUAAAGGGAGCGUAGGCUGGAGAUUAAGUGUGUUGUGAAAUGUAGACGCUCAACGUCUGACUUGCAGCGCAUACUGGUUUCCUUGAGUACGCACAACGUUGGCGGAAUUCGUCGUGUAGCGGUGAAAUGCUUAGAUAUGACGAAGAACUCCGAUUGCGAAGGCAGCUGACGGGAGC